rnacentral:rRNA from 1 species
CUUAGUGCUGCAAGCUAACGCAUUAAGCACUCCGCCUGGGGAGUACGGCCGCAAGGCUGAAACUCAAAAGAAUUGACGGGGGCCCGCACAAGCGGAGGAGCAUGUGGUUUAAUUCGAAGCAACGCGAAGAACCUUACCAGGUCUUGACAUCCUCUGAACACUCUAGAGAUAGAAUUUUCCCUUCGGGGACAGAGUGACAGGUGGUGCAUGGUUGUCGUCAGCUCGUGUCGUGAGAUGUUGGGUUAAGUCCCGCAACGAGCGCAACCCUUGAUCUUAGUUGCCAGCAUUCAGUUGGGCACUCUAAGGUGACUGCCGGUGACAAACCGGAGGAAGGUGGGGACGACGUCAAAUCAUCAUGCCCCUUAUGACCUGGGCUACACACGUGCUACAAUGGAUGGAACAAAGGGAAGCGAACCCGCGAGGUCAAGCAAAUCCCACAAAACCAUUCUCAGUUCGGAUUGUAGGCUGCAACUCGCCUACAUGAAGCCGGAAUCGCUAGUAAUCGCGGAUCAGCAUGCCGCGGUGAAUACGUUCCCGGGCCUUGUACACACCGCCCGUCACACCACGAGAGUUGGUAACACCCGAAGUCGGUGAGGUAACCUUUUGGAACCAGCCGCCGAAGGUGGGA